rnacentral:rRNA from 1 species
AAGUCGAGCGGGCCCUUCGGGGUCAGCGGCGGACGGGUGAGUAACGCGUGGGAACGUGCCUUCUGGUUCGGAAUAACCCUGGGAAACUAGGGCUAAUACCGGAUACGCCCUUUUGGGGAAAGGUUUACUGCCGGAAGAUCGGCCCGCGUCUGAUUAGCUAGUUGGUGGGGUAACGGCCUACCAAGGCGACGAUCAGUAGCUGGUCUGAGAGGAUGAUCAGCCACACUGGGACUGAGACACGGCCCAGACUCCUACGGGAGGCAGCAGUGGGGAAUAUUGGACAAUGGGCGCAAGCCUGAUCCAGCCAUGCCGCGUGAGUGAUGAAGGCCUUAGGGUUGUAAAGCUCUUUUAUCCGGGACGAUAAUGACGGUACCGGAGGAAUAAGCCCCGGCUAACUUCGUGCCAGCAGCCGCGGUAAUACGAAGGGGGCUAGCGUUGCUCGGAAUCACUGGGCGUAAAGGGCGCGUAGGCGGCGUUUUAAGUCGGGGGUGAAAGCCUGUGGCUCAACCACAGAAUGGCCUUCGAUACUGGGACGCUUGAGUAUGGUAGAGGUUGGUGGAACUGCGAGUGUAGAGGUGAAAUUCGUAGAUAUUCGCAAGAACACCGGUGGCGAAGGCGGCCAACUGGACCAAUACUGACGCUGAGGCGCGA